AUUGAACGCUGGCGGCAUGCCUUACACAUGCAAGUCGAACGGUAACAGGUCUUCGGAUGCUGACGAGUGGCGAACGGGUGCGUAAUACAUCGGAACGUGCCCGAUCGUGGGGGAUAACGAGGCGAAAGCUUUGCUAAUACCGCAUACGAUCUACGGAUGAAAGCGGGGGAUCUUCGGACCUCGCGCGGACGGAGCGGCCGAUGGCAGAUUAGGUAGUUGGUGGGAUAAAAGCUUACCAAGCCGACGAUCUGUAGCUGGUCUGAGAGGAUGAUCAGCCACACUGGGACUGAGACACGGCCCAGACUCCCACGGGAGGCAGCAGUGGGGAAUUUUGGACAAUGGGCGAAAGCCUGAUCCAGCCAUGCCGCGUGCAGGAUGAAGGCCUUCGGGUUGUAAACUGCUUUUGUACGGAACGAAAAGCCUCUUUCUAAUAAAGAGGGGUCAUGACGGUACCGUAAGAAUAAGCACCGGCUAACUACGUG
rnacentral:rRNA from 1 species